rnacentral:rRNA from 1 species
GACGAACGCUGGCGGCGGGCUUAACACAUGCAAGUCGAACGGAAAGUCCCUGCUUUUGUGGGGUGCUCGAGUGGCGAACGGGUGAGUAACACGUGAGUAACCUGCCCUUGACUUUGGGAUAACUUCAGGAAACUGGGGCUAAUACCGGAUAGGAGCUCCUGCUGCAUGGUGGGGGUUGGAAAGAUUCGGCGGUUGGGGAUGGACUCGCGGCUUAUCAGCUUGUUGGUGGGGUAGUGGCUUACCAAGGCUUUGACGGGUAGCCGGCCUGAGAGGGUGACCGGCCACCUUGGGACUGAGAUACGGCCCAGACUCCUACGGGAGGCAGCAGUGGGGAAUAUUGCACAAUGGGCGGAAGACUGAUGCAGCCACGCCGCGUGCGGGAUGACGGCCUUCGGGUUGUAAACCGCUUUCGCCUGUGACGAAGCGUGAGUGACGGUAAUGGGUAAAGAAGCACCGGCUAACUACGUG